rnacentral:rRNA from 1 species
CAGUCGCCACGGUAAUACGAAGGGUGCAAGCGUUACUCGGAAUUACUGGGCGUAAAGCGUGCGUAGGUGGUGGUUUAAGUCCGUUGUGAAAGCCCUGGGCUCAACCUGGGAAUUGCAGUGGAUACUGGGUCACUAGAGUGUGGUAGAGGAUAGUGGAGUUUCCGGUGUAGCAGUGAAAUGCGUAGAGAUCGGAAGGAACAUCUGUGGCGAAGGCGACUAUCUGGGCCAACACUGACACUGAGGCACGAAAGCGUGGGGAGCAAACAGGAUUAGAUACCCCUGUAGUCCCUGUCUCUUAUAC